UACUUUUAGACAGCAGAAGACAUAGCCAGUUUCAUCAAAGAUGCACCAGAUGCCUUGGCACUAUCUCCAUCACUGGUGAAAUGGGAAAUGACUAGUAGACCGUCAUCACUUAAUAUUUUUAACUCACCAAUGCAUAAUUUGAGGCCAAUCUCUUCUCAUCUCCGAUGGUGGUCUCCAGAGGAAUGGUUGCAGUGCAGUCUUCGUGUCCUGGGCCUUUCCUUCUCAGGUCUGUUGCACAUGGGUGGCUGAAGCUGGUUCAAUAUUUCCACCAAG